rnacentral:lncRNA from 1 species
GAGCACCGCUACAGCGCGGCGGGCGUCUCGCUGCUCGAGCCGCCGCUGCAGCUCUACUGGACCUGGCUGCUCCAGUGGAUCCCGCUCUGGAUGGCCCCCAACUCCAUCACCCUGCUGGGGCUCGCCGUCAACGUGGUCACCACGCUCGUGCUCAUCUCCUACUGUCCCACGGCCACCGAAGAGGCACCAUACUGGACAUACCUUUUAUGUGCACUGGGACUUUUUAUUUACCAGUCACUGGAUGCUAUUGAUGGGAAACAAGCCAGAAGAACAAACUCUUGUUCCCCUUUAGGGGAGCUCUUUGACCAUGGCUGUGACUCUCUUUCCACAGUAUUUAUGGCAGUGGGAGCUUCAAUUGCCGCUCGCUUAGGAACUUAUCCUGACUGGUUUUUUUUCUGCUCUUUUAUUGGGAUGUUUGUGUUUUAUUGCGCUCAUUGGCAGACUUAUGUUUCAGGCAUGUUGAGAUUUGGAAAAGUGGAUGUAACUGAAAUUCAGAUAGCUUUAGUGAUUGUCUUUGUGUUGUCUGCAUUUGGAGGAGCAACAAUGUGGGACUAUACGGGCACCAGUGUCUUGUCACCUGGACUCCACAUAGGACUAAUUAUUAUACUGGCAAUAAUGAUCUAUAAAAAGUCAGCAACUGAUGUGUUUGAAAAGCAUCCUUGUCUUUAUAUCCUAAUGUUUGGAUGUGUCUUUGCUAAAGUCUCACAAAAAUUAGUGGUAGCUCACAUGACCAAAAGUGAACUAUAUCUUCAAGACACUGUCUUUUUGGGGCCAGGUCUUUUGUUUUUAGACCAGUACUUUAAUAACUUUAUAGACGAAUAUGUUGUUCUAUGGAUGGCAAUGGUGAUUUCUUCAUUUGAUAUGGUGAUAUACUUUAGUGCUUUGUGCCUGCAAAUUUCAAGACACCUUCAUCUAAAUAUAUUCAAGACUGCAUGUCAUCAAGCACCUGAACAGGUUCAAGUUCUUUCUUCAAAGAGUCAUCAGAAUAACAUGGAUUGAAGAGACUUCCGAACACUUGCUAUCUCUUGCUGCUGCUGUUUCAUGGAAGGAGAUAUUAAACAUUUGUUUAAUUUUUAUUUAAGUGUUAUACCUAUUUCAGCAAAUAAAAUAUUUCAUUGCUUAUA